rnacentral:rRNA from 1 species
UACAGAGGUGGCAAGCGUUGUUCGGAAUUACUGGGCGUAAAGGGCGCGUAGGCGGCACUGUUAGUCAGGCGUGAAAGUCCUGGGCUCAACCUGGGAACUGCGCUUGAUACGGCAGAGCUAGAGGAUGGAAGAGGCUCGCGGAAUUCCCAGUGUAGAGGUGAAAUUCGUAGAUAUUCGGAAGAACACCAGUGGCGAAGGCGACUAACUGGACAUGUAUUGACGCUGAGGUGCGAAAGCGUGGGGAGCAAACAGG